GGGUUGUGAGGUUAAGCGACUAAGCGUACACGGUGGAUGCCCUGGCAGUCAGAGGCGAUGAAGGACGUGCUAAUCUGCGAUAAGCGUCGGUAAGGUGAUAUGAACCGUUAUAACCGGCGAUUUCCGAAUGGGGAAACCCAGUGUGAUUCGUCACACUAUCAUUAACUGAAUCCAUAGGUUAAUGAGGCGAACCGGGGGAACUGAAACAUCUAAGUACCCCGAGGAAAAGAAAUCAACCGAGAUUCCCCCAGUAGCGGCGAGCGAACGGGGAGCAGCCCAGAGCCUGAAUCAGUGUGUGUGUUAGUGGAAGCGUCUGGAAAGGCGUGCGAUACAGGGUGACAGCCCCGUACACAAAAAUGCACAUACUGUGAGCUCGAUGAGUAGGGCGGGACACGUGGUAUCCUGUCUGAAUAUGGGGGGACCAUCCUCCAAGGCUAAAUACUCCUGACUGACCGAUAGUGAACCAGUACCGUG
rnacentral:rRNA from 1 species